ACUCAGCCCUCGACCAGUGCCGGAGCCACGCCGGAUUGGCGAGUGGAAGGGUUUUUAAACAUGCAAUUGUACAUUUCCGCUUCUGACGGCGGAGUUCUCAUUUGAAUUUGAUUAAAGUUUGAAGUCCGCAGGAGAUAUCGUAUCUCCUAAUCUUCAGCAUGAUUUCUGCUGCUGACUGCCGUGUUCGCUUUUGAAUUUGAAUUCAAGUUUGAAGUCCUCAUAAUCAUAUCUCCUGAUCUUCAGAAAUCACUUUCUUCUACAUCGGUGAUCAUUGCGCGGACAAGCGGAAGCGGGGAAUUCACUGUCUAGGCAGAAUCUCGAUAAAUAAAAUUUCCAGGAAAAUUAAUGGGAAGACAGAAAGGAGAUGGCGGCAGGAGCAAGACUCGUCCUUCAAGUAGCAGCCUUGCUGCGUCGCUUCUGCCAAGCGGCACUACAAGCGUUGGAUUUGGAGGCUACGUAGGUAGUUCCCGGCUCGAUUCAUCCCUCGCAAUCGAAGAUGCAGUUCCGCUCACGGAUAUUGACAGUGAAUUGGCCCAACACUUAAAAAGACUUGCUAGGAAGGAUCCCACCACCAAGCUUAAAGCUUUGACAUCUUUAUCUAUGUUGCUCAAGCAAAAGUCUGGAAAGGACAUAGUGCCAAUCAUUCCAAUAUGGGCCUUUGAAUACAAGAGGCUGUUGCUGGACUACAGCAGAGAGGUCCGGAGAGCUACUCAUGAUACCAUGACUAACCUUGUCAUCACUGUCGGAAGAGAUUUGGCUCCGCACCUGAAGUCAUUGAUGGGACCGUGGUGGUUUUCUCAGUUUGAUCCAGUUUCUGAAGUUUCUCAGGCUGCAAAACAAUCACUACAGGCAGCCUUUCCAGCACCAGAGAAGAGAUUGGAUGCAUUAAUUUUAUGCACAAAUGAGAUAUUUUUGUAUUUGGAAGAAAAUCUAAAGCUCACACCACAGAGUAUCUCUGAUAAAGCAGCUGCUUUGGAUGAAUUGGAAGAGAUGCACCAGCAGGUGAUUUCAUCAUCACUGUUGGCAUUGGCUACACUUCUAGAUAUUUUAGUGUGCAUGCAAUUAGAAGGACCUGGCUUUGAAAAGAUAGCUGCAGAAUCAAAACAUGCUUCAAAGGCUAGGGCAACUACUAUUUCCUCUACUGAAAAGUUAUUCUCUUCUCAUAAGUACUUUCUAGACUUUCUGAAAUCUCAAAGCCCUACUGUCAGAUCAGCUUCAUAUUCUCUGCUAAGGAGUUUAAUUAAAAAUGUUCCUCAUGCUUUCAAUGAAGGAAAUAUUAGAACUAUUGCUGCUGCAAUACUUGGUGCUUUCCAGGAAAAAGAUCCAGCUUGUCAUUCGGCAAUGUGGGAUGCAAUUUUAUUAUUUUCCAAAAGAUUUCCUGGUAGCUGGACUUCCCUGAAUGUCCAGAAAACUAUACUAAGCCGAUUGUGGCAUUUCCUUAAAAGUGGCUGCUUUGGAUCACAGCAGGUUUCUUAUGCACAGUUGAUUGUAUUCUUAGAUACAGUACCCCCUGAUGCAGUAGUGGGAGAGAAGUUCUUUCUUGAGUUUUUCCAGAACCUAUGGGCUGGGAGAAAUCUGUCUGUUCCCUUACAUGCUGAUCGUUUGGCAUUUUUUAUGGCAUUUAAAGAAUGUUUUAUUUGGGGAUUGCGUAAUGCAUCAAGAUAUUGUAAUGGAGUGGAAACCAUUCAUCAUUUCCAAGUCACUCUCAUUGACAGUAUCCUUGUAAAUGCUUUGUGGCAUGACUACCUGUUGCCUCCUAGCUCAAAAAGACAGGAGACGGUCUGUUCUGGGAAGUCCGGUGAUCCAUCCGAGGAGAGUGUUGAACCUUUACACAGAAAGACAAUGGAAACACUGAAUUCAAAGUAUUCAAUGAUCUAUCUGACAGAGUUGGGGAAAUGUGUUACUGAAAUUCUUUCUGGAAUUUAUCCAUUGGACCAUAAUUUGCUGUUCACUUUUUGUGCAACAUUUAAGGAGAACUGCCUUGCAAUAUGUCAGCAACUGGAGAACACAGAAAGAUGUUCUGAGAAUGUAGAAAGGAUAAUUAAUUUUUUGUUGUUAGUAGAUCAACAUGCAGUCCAGAAAGGAGAAACUUGGCCCUUCAUCCGCUUGGUGGGACCAAUGUUGUCAAAGUCGUUCCCAUUGAUUAGAUUACAUGCCAGGCCAGAUGCUGUGAGACUUUUAUCUGUUUCUAUUUCAAUAUUUGGACCACGCAAGAUUAUCCAAGAGAUUUUCGUCCAUGAUGAAGGGCAUCCUUCUAGUUCUUUUGAUCACAAUGACCAGGAAUUGGGCCAGAAGCAUUUCUUGCAGGUGUUUGGGAAUGUAUUUGUCCCCUGGUGUUUAUGUGGUAAUAAUUGCUCCACUAGUGCUCGACUGGAUCUUUUGCUUGGAUUACUUGAUGAUGACUGUUUUACUGAGCAAUGGUGCAUUAUUAUGUCAUAUGCAACAAACUUAAAACAGUUUGGAGUUGGUCCUGGUUCCCUGGAAGCUAGCCACAUGGAUUUAUUUGCGAUGCUCAUGGAGAAAGCAAGAGAGGAGAUUAGAAUGAGGAAUGUUGAAGGUGGUUCUAAUUGUCGUCGAGGUUCUCACCCAGAUCACUGGCACCAUGAGUUCCUAGAUUCAACUGCCGUCUCUGUCAUCUGUUCUCAUUCUUCAAUUAGAAAUUCAGAUGCUCAAUUCGUACGGGCUGUUCUUGGUGGCUCAACAGAAAGUGAUCAAACAUCUUUUCUGUCAAAAAAUGCAGUGAUUUUGGUAUUUGAAGAGGUUUUCAAGAAGUUCAUCAAUUUUAUAAAGUAUUCCCCUUUUUCUUGGGUUGGGGAUGCAAGUUCUUUAUUGAAUUCUGGGGCAAACAAUUACUUGCCAGGUUGUGAAUCUAAUUCAAACAUGCUUGAGAUGGCGCGGUUCGCUCUUAAAGUACUUGAUGGGAGUUUCUUUUGCUUGAAGAUGAUUGACAAAGAAAAUGAUCUUGUUCCAGGUAUUUUAGCGGCAAUAUUUGUUAUUGACUGGGAGAGUAGAAUGGCAUCAACAUUAAUUGAUGCACUUUGUGAUGAAUCAACAAGUGAAAUUUCGUCCAGGUUGGAUUUUGGUGAAUCUGUGCAUGCUUUUUGUUGUAAGAUAAGUAAACAUUUCUGGAAAAGCCUCAGCAUGCAGAGUCGGGAGAGAAUAGGACAUAUUUUAAUUCAGUUUAUCAGGUCUGUUGUAUUCAGAAUGGAUAAACAGGACACUGAUAAAAUCACGUCUUUGUGCUCCCUUUGGAUGCUUGAAGUCCUUGAAUUUCUUUGCCAGGACCAACAGGAGGAGCAAAAGUUAUUAGACCAGUUCAUUCGCGAGGAUGAAUUGUGGCCUUUGUGGGUCAUUCCUGAUUUCACAAAUGAGCAAAGAUUGGCCACCCUGAAACUUGAUCCGACUUCAAUUGAUAUUCAUGCAUCUGUGAAUUAUAAGUUUGUCGCUUUAAUUGACAAGCUUAUUUCAAAAAUUGGGUUCGACAGAGUUGUUGCUGGCUGUGUCACAUGUUCUCCAUCUGCACCAAAGGAAGCAACAAAUGAGCCGGUCAGCUCUCGAGCUUGGCUUGCUGCUGAAAUAUUAUGUACUUGGAAAUGGAAAGGAGGCUGUGCAUUAAGUUCUUUCUUACCUUCUUUAAGUGCCUAUGCAAGAACUAUAAAAUUUUCACUAAAAAAUUGCUUGUUAGAUUCCAUUGUCAGUAUUUUACUUGAUGGUGCUCUUGUUCAUGGGUCAAGUGAUGGAUGGAGCUCUGUCAACGUAUGGGCUGCUUCGCACGAUGAAUUAGGUGGCAUUGAAGAACCAUUCUUGAGAGCUUUUGUAUCGUUACUUUUAACUUUGUUUGAAGACCAUAUAUGGGAAAGGGACAAAGCGAUGAUGCUUUUUGAGUUGCUUGUAAAAAAACUUUCCUUCGGUGAAACAGUAAACUGGAACUGUUUGAGGAUUCUUCCUCCAAUUAUGAAAGUUUUAAUUCAACCAUUAUGCCAGAAAAGCUCUGAAUAUGGUGAAUCAAGUAAAGAUGCUCCAAGUGAUUCCUUUGUGGAAAAUCUGAUGCAUGUUACCAUCCAAGACUGGCUCCAAAAAGCUCUGUCAUUGCCACCUUUAAUCUCUUGGCAACCUGAACAGCAUAUGGAAGAGUGGUAUCAUCUGGUCAUAUCUUGCUACCCCUUGAAUGCAAAAGGUGGAAAAGAAGCAUUAAAGGUUGCAAGAGACAUCAGCCCUGCGGAGCAAGUGCACUUAUUUGAAUUAUUUCAAAAGCAAAGACAUGCUGCUGGUGCAUCAGCUGCAGCUAAUCAACUGCCUUCAGUGCAGAUAUUACUAUCAAAGCUAAUGGCUGUUACUGUGGGAUACUGCUGUAAGGAAUUUAAUGAAAAAGAUUGGGAGUUUAUACUCUCUCAGUUGAGGAGGUGGAUCGAGGCAGUUGUUGUGACUAUGGAGGAAGUAGCCGAAAAUAUAAAUGAUACCUUCUUGUCAACCUCUAUUUAUGAUAACUCAGAAGUUUUGCUGGAUAAGCUGGAUAAAAGUGUUUUGAUUUUAGACCCUGUUCCUAUAAACAUUGCGAGACAUUCCUUGUUUGUGUUUUCUCUAUUUUGUCGUUUUGUUGAACUCCAUCAAUCAGAAGUUGCAUAUAAUAUGAAUGAGAGAUGGGAACCUCUUAAAGAUCGAGUAUUUGAAGCUAUUCUUCGCAUAUUUUUUUCCACCGGUGUUGCCGAGGCCAUUGCCAGAUCCUAUUGUCGUGAAGCUUCAUCCUUUAUAGCAUCUUCUCGUCUUGAUCAUCCACACUUCUGGGAGUUAGUUGCUUCAAGCGUCAUCAACUCCUCUACAAGAGCUAGAGAUAGAGCAGUGAAAUCGUUUGAAUUCUGGGGAUUGAGCAAGGGAUCAAUUGGCUCAUUGUACGCUAUCCUUUUUUCCUCCAAACCAGUUCAUUCUUUGCAGUUUGCUGCUUAUGUUAUUCUCUCAACUGAACCUGUUUCAUCCUCGGCUAUAGUUAGAGAAGACACUGAAUCUUGCUCAAGUGGGAAUGGUGACCCAGAUACUAUCCGUUUUGACUCACCUUUGGAAGGGAAUGCCCAUAUUAGGGAGGAAAUAUCUUGCAUGAUUGAGAAGUUGCCUUGUGAGAUUCUCGAAACAGACAUAAUAGCCCAGGUAAAUUUGUUCCUUGCUUGGGCUUUGUUGCUGUCACAUAUAUCAUAUUUACCACCUUUAUCACCUGAAAAGGAGAGACUUGUCCAGUAUAUACAAGAUUCUGCUAAUUCAACAAUAUUAGAUUGCCUCUUUCAGCAGAUUCCAUUGGAAUUGUGCAUGGUGCAUGCGUUGAAGAAAAAAGAUGUAGAGCUUCCUGCUGGGUUACUAGAGGCUGCCAAAGCAGCAACUCAUGCCAUCAAAACAGGUUCUUUGUUGUUUUCUGUGGAAUCACUUUGGCCUAUUGGACCAGAGAAAAUGGCCUCACUUUCUGCUGCAAUUUUUGGUUUGAUGCUACGUGUUCUUCCUGCUUAUGUUCGAGGGUGGUUUGGUGACUUGCGUGACCGUUCUGCAUCAUCUAUGAUCGAAUCUUUUACAAAAUCUUGGUGUAGCCCUCCUUUAAUUGCUGAUGAGCUCUCUCAGAUCAAGAAAGUCAGUUUUUCUGAAGAGAAUUUUUCAGUUAGUGUAAGCAAAUCAGCCAAUGAGGUUGUUGCUACCUAUACAAAGGAUGAGACAGGAAUGGAUUUAGUUAUUCGCCUUCCUGCAUCUUACCCAUUGCGACCAGUGGAUGUUGACUGUACAAGGAGCCUUGGCAUUAGUGAAGUGAAGCAGAGGAAAUGGUUAAUGUCUAUGAUGGCAUUUGUUCGUAAUCAGAAUGGAGCACUAGCUGAAGCCAUACGAAUAUGGAAAAGCAAUUUUGACAAGGAAUUUGAAGGCGUCGAGGAGUGCCCUAUCUGUUACAGUGUCAUCCACACUGCCAACCACAGCCUUCCCCGUCUUGCUUGCAAGACCUGCAAACAUAAGUUCCACUCUGCCUGUCUCUACAAGUGGUUUUCAACUUCUCAUAAAUCAACAUGCCCACUCUGCCAGUCUCCAUUCUAAGUCUUUUCAAAGGCAUAAUGUUACUUCAUAUUAUGGAGAGUAGGAAAAUUAAGUGGAAAGCAGAAGUGAAGUAUGCAUCUGUAUUUCAUAUUCAUUGUGGGAGCUUUGGAGACUUAAAACAACUGUGGGCCCUGACUUUGAGCCAUGUGCAUAAUGGUAAGCUGGUUUUCAGAGCCUGACGAGAUCUGGCCUGUGGGUUAGUUGAAAGAGCAUGACAGAACUGUCUUUUUUAAGGUUUGAAGUUCUCUCAUCGCUUCAAUGUAGAUCCAGCAGAUUUCAAUAUAGAGAUCGACCUCCUCCUUUUUUGUUUUUAAGAAAUAUGUAUAGACGUAAUUUUAAAGGGAAUUGGAGGUGCUAUCAGUUUUGAAGUUUACAGAUUUAACAUUUUUAUUUAGAGGAUGUGUAUAUGAAUAAAUUUGAUAGUUAUUACUGAAGGAAAAUUAAAAUUUAGUCUC